rnacentral:misc_RNA from 1 species
GAUGAAGAACGCAGCGAAAUGCGAUACGUAGUGUGAAUUGCAGAAUUCAGUGAAUCAUCGAAUCUUUGAACGCACAUUGCACCUCUCGGUAUUCCGGGAGGUAUGCCUGUUCGAGCGUCAUUUGUACCCUCAAGCUCUGCUUGGUGUUGGGUGUUUGUUCCGCCUCUGUGUGUGAACUCGCCUCAAAACAGUUGGCAGCCGGCGUACUUGUUUCGGAGCGCAGCACAUUUUGCGAUCCAGAUCAACGUACAGCGGCAUCCAAGAAGCCUUAUUUAACGCUCUUGACCUCGGAUCAGGUAGGGAUACCCGCUGAACUUAAGCAUAUCAAUAAGCGGAGGA